GUCCACGCUGUAAACGAUGGACACUAGGUGCUUGGGGUAUUGACCCCCUGGGUGCCGCAGCUAACGCAUUAAGUGUCCCGCCUGGGGAAUACGGCCGCAAGGUUAAAACUCAAAGGAAUUGACGGGGGCCCGCACAAGCGGUGGAGCAUGUGGUUCAAUUCGACGCAACGCGAAGAACCUUACCUGGGCUAGACAACAUCGGAUAUCCCCCAGAGAUGGGGCCUUCCCGCAAGGGACCGUGGUUCAGGUGCUGCAUGGCUGUCGU
rnacentral:rRNA from 1 species